AUUGAACGCUGGCGGCAGGCCUAACACAUGCAAGUCGAGCGAGCGGCGGACGGGUGAGUAAUGUAUGGGGAACUGCCUGAUGGAGGGGGAUAACUACUGGAAACGGUAGCUAAUACCGCAUACCAUCAGAGGAGCCCAUAUGGGAUUAGCUUGUAGGUGAGGUAACGGCUCACCGAGGCGACGAUCCCUAGCUGGUCUGAAAGGAUGAUCAGCCAAACUGGGACUGAGAAAUGGCCCAGACUCCUACGGGAGGCAGCAGUGGGAAAUAUUGCACAAUGGGCGCCAGCCUGAUGCAGCCAUGCCGCUUGUAUGAAGAAGGCCUUCGGGUUGUAAAGUUCUUUCAGUCGGGAGGCGUUACCGACAGAAGAGGCACGGGCUAACGCCGUGCCAGCCGCCGCGGUAAUAC
rnacentral:rRNA from 1 species